AUUGAACGCUGGCGGCAUGAUUUACACAUGCAAGUCGAACGGUAACAGGCCGCAAGGUGCUGACGAGUGGCGAACGGGUCAGUAAUGCAUCGGAACGUGCCCAGUCGUGGGGGAUAACUACUCGAAAGAGUAGCUAAUACCGCAUACGAUCUAUGGAUGAAAGCGGGGGACCGUAAGGCCUCGCGCGAUUGGAGCGGCCGAUGUCAGAUUAGGUAGUUGGUGGGGUAAAGGCUCACCAAGGCAACGAUCUGUAGCUGGUCUGAGAGGACGACCAGCCACACUGGAACUGAGACACGGCCCAGACUCCUACGGGAGGCAGCAGUGGGGAAUUUUGGACAAUGGGCGCAAGCCUGAUCCAGCAAUGCCGCGUGCAGGAAGAAGGCCUUCGGGUUGUAAACUGCUUUUGUACGGAACGAAACGGCUCUGGUUAAUACCCGGGGCUAAUGACGGUACCGUAAGAAUAAGCACCGGCUAACUACGUG
rnacentral:rRNA from 1 species